rnacentral:rRNA from 1 species
CGGCGGACGGGUGAGUAACACGUGGAUAACCUACCUAUAAGACUGGGAUAACUUCGGGAAACCGGAGCUAAUACCGGAUAAUAUAUUGAACCGCAUGGUUCAAUGGUGAAAGACGGUUUUGCUGUCACUUACAGAUGGAUCCGCGCCGCAUUAGCUAGUUGGUAAGGUAACGGCUUACCAAGGCAACGAUGCGUAGCCGACCUGAGAGGGUGAUCGGCCACACUUGGAACUGAGACACGGUCCAGACUCCUACGGGAGGCAGCAGUA